rnacentral:rRNA from 1 species
CGGCGGACGGGUGAGUAAUGUAUGGGGAUCUGCCUGAUGGCGGGGGAUAACUACUGGAAACGGUAGCUAAUACCGCAUAAUGUCUACGGACCAAAGCGGGGGACCUCCGGGCCUCGCGCCAUCAGAUGAACCCAUACGGGAUUAGCUAGUAGGUAAGGUAACGGCUUACCUAGGCGACGAUCCCUAGCUGGUCUGAGAGGAUGAUCAGCCACACUGGGACUGAGACACGGCCCAG